GCACAAUGGGCGCAAGCCUGAUGCAGCGACGCCGCGUGGGGGAUGACGGCCUUCGGGUUGUAAACCUCUUUCAAUAGGGACGAAGCGCAAGUGACGGUACCUAUAGAAGAAGCACCGGCCAACUACGUGCCAGCAGCCGCGGUAAUACGUAGGGUGCGAGCGUUGUCCGGAAUUACUGGGCGUAAAGAGCUCGUAGGUGGUUUGUCGCGUUGUUCGUGAAAACCGGGGGCUUAACCCUCGGCGUGCGGGCGAUACGGGCAGACUGGAGUACUGCAGGGGAGACUGGAAUUCCUGGUGUAGCGGUGGAAUGCGCAGAUAUCAGGAGGAACACCGGUGGCGAAGGCGGGUCUCUGGGCAGUAACUGACGCUGAGACGCGAAAGCGUGGGGAGCAAACAGGAUUAGAUACCCUGGUAGUCCACGCUGUAAACGAUGGGCACUAGGUGUCCGGGGUAUUGACCCCCUGGGUGCCGCAGCUAACGCAUUAAGUGCCCCGCCUGGGGACUACGGCCGCAAGGUUA
rnacentral:rRNA from 1 species